rnacentral:lncRNA from 1 species
GAUGACGUGGUAAAAUUUGGGAUUAAUUGGAGGAAGUUUGGCGCAUGAAAUGACGGGUUAAACAUGAUUUAGGGGCUUAAACGGAGGUUUAGGACUGAUUUGUAAUAAACCAGGGACCUAUUUGUAAAUACUUUUGGAAGUGGAGGGGCUUAUUCGUGAGGUUUCCUUUGAGAGAGGUGGGAGGGCUAUUUCGCGAAUAGUGGAUUUCAGGGGGUUAGAUCGGAAUUUGGCUUUCUUCUUCCUCUUGUGCGCACAGUACACCGGGAGAGAGAGAGAGAGGGAGGGCACGACCGGCCUAGGGGCGGCGGCUUAGGGUCGCCGGCGGCGAGGGGAGGCGGCGGGAGAAGGCGGAGAGGUUCGUGGAGGCUCCAUUUUGCUACUCACCUUGGGGAUUUGGGUAAGGGAAGGGGUGCGGCCGGUGGUGGAUCUUGGCGGCGGCUCGGGUGGUACACGGGUGGCGGCGGCGGUUGUGGGCGCAGGAGGAUGGGGUGGGCGUGGAGGAGAUGGCCGGGGCGUCGCCCCUUUUAUAGGCCGGCGAGGUGGCCGGCGGGGCCGGAACCGGCGGGCGGUGGUGGGAGUCCGGCAGGAGAUGGAGUGUGGCGGGCUGCGCCGGGGCGGG